CAGAAGCCCUCUCUUGGGUCCCUCUCUCUCUCUUCUUCUAAUCAUCGUCUCUCUCUCUUUCUUCUCUCUUUGCUCGCGCGUCUCAAUCAGUUAAAUCUAUACACACACGUAUACGCGAAUACAUGGUUUUCAGGAUAUUGCAGUGACGACGGCGCAAUUUGACCGGAGGAUGUACGGAGGAUCGUCGAAACUUAGUCGCGGUGGCGGUAGAGGUGGUGGUGGAGGAGGAGGCGGUGGUGGCGGACCGGGCCGUAACCGCAAUUCUUACCCUCCUCCUACGAACCGGCAUCCUUCUCCCGUCGGGAGGAUGUCCUCGGGAGGUGGUGGCUCCGCAGCCGCCCCACGGCAGCGGAAUAUCACCAGCGUCAAGGCGGCGGCGGCCGCCACGGCGUCGACGGCGGCUCGUACGGUUGAGGAGAGCUUUAGCCUUGUUCCGAGGGAGAGUCCUUCGGCUUUUGGAAUGAUCAUAAGGUUGGCUCCUGAUUUGGUGGAGGAGAUCAAGCGGGCGGAAGCACAGGGUGGAGCCGCCAAGAUCAAGUUCGAUGCGUUUCCUAACAAUAGCACUGGGAAUAUUAUUAAUGUUGGUGGGAAGGAGUUCAAAUUUACCUGGUCUAGGGAGCCUGGUGAUUUAUGUGAUAUAUAUGAAGAGCACCAAAGUGGUGAAGAUGGAAAUGGUGUGCUAGUUGAGGCUGGAUGUGCUUGGCGAAAAUUGAACGUCCAGCGAACUCUAGAUGAGUCAACCACAAGCCAUAUGAAGAUGCGCUCAGUUGAAGCUGAGCAGAGAACCAAAUCACGCAAGGCAAUUGUUUUAGAUCCUGGGAAUCCAACAGUAACGAAGCAGUUAGCUCUUGCUGAAGCAAGUCCAUGGAGAAUGUCAAAUAAACAGAAGAAGGAACCUCCGCCUAAGAAGCGGAAAGUUGAUCCACCUUCAGUUUCAACUGGAGGUCCAAAGCCUUCUUUCAGACCAGGGGCUUCACCCCCUGCUGUGAAAAAUAGGCUAUCAGCUUCCCCAAGACCAUCUCCUUCUAAUCAAUACAAUACCCCUCCAUCAUAUGGGAUUGGGAAUAUUGCUAAAACUCAUGCAGCUAACGAGAAUGUCACACCAGUCCAGACAAAGGGCAGAGAGAACAUGGUUGCUAGCGAAAAAGAUCCAUCAACUUGGACAAAUAAUGCGUUAAGGGACACGUCUGCGCGCCAAGCAGCCAAUAUUAAUAAAGAAAUAGAUUUGCAGACAAUGCUGGUUGAUCUUCUAGAAGAGGCUCCAAUGACCUUAAAGGCAUUAGAGAAAGCUGUUGGAAAUAGAAUCCCUAAUGCGGCAAAGAAGAUUGAACCAAUUUUGAAAAAAAUUGCAAAUUUCCAAGCUCCAAGGUAUUUCUUAAAAUCAGGAGCAGAGUUGGAAAGCUACAAAAAACAUUCACCUGAUAGCGGAAGCUCACCUGAACACCAGCAAUUGCUACCAAUCACUGAGUGCAGUCGCGAUCAGUUACCUGCUCCAGGGGGCAGCAACAUGGAGAAAUUUUCUGUGUGUGAGCGGAACGGAGAAGGUUCACAAGACUGUUUACCUGUGCAUCUAGCAGAGCAAUUGAGUGCGCAAGAAAAUGUUGACAUUGAGCAUCAUUCACCUGGUAUUCUUCAUGAGGAAAAGCGAUCUGAGAAUAGAGAAGGUCAGGCUCGUAGCUCUAGUGAUAGUGACAGUGAUAGUGAUAACAGUGACAGUGGAAGUGACAGUGGGAGCCACAGUAAAGGAAGUGACAGCGGGAGCAGCAGUGAUAGCGAGGCUUCUUCUAACAGUAGGGAUGGUUCUGAUGAGGAAGUGGAUAUCAUGAGCGAUGGUGACAGGGAGCCUCAACAGAUAAUACAGUCGGCUGAACAGGAUGCUAUUACUCUCCCAGGUCAUGGUUCUAAUGCUGUUGACAUCGAGGGUCAUGAUUCUGAUCCUGUCGACAUUGACGGUCAUGAUUCUGACGCGGUUGACAUCGAUGGUCUUGGGUCUGAUGCAGUUGAUGUUGAGGGGAACAGUUCAGAUGGGGGUCAUGGUUUUGAAGCUGACAGGAAAAACUUCUCUGAUAAUAACUGGAAAAUGGAAGCAACAACUGGUACCAGUCCCACUGCGAAUGACGAAGUUGGCAUUUCAGGGCAGGACAAUUUUGCUUCAGGUCACGACAAGCUACGAGAGCGCCAAAAUUUUAUUGGACAGUUGUUUGAUGACACAGAGAACACAACGAAAGAUAACUUUAAAAAUGACCAACCUGACACCUCCGAGAGGCUGGCCAAAGACCAGAAUCAAAUAGCCCCUUAUUUGGAGCACCAGAGUCAGAAAUCAACACGGAUGAAAAAUAUGAAAUCCCAGAGCUUCAAUCCAAUACCUUCCGUUGGUAAAGAUUCACAGCGUUCAGAGCGCAAGUCUGAUGUAGAACUUCUCAACUCCUCUGCCAGUCAAACAAUAGAUCCACUUAGAGGACUUCAGAAGCCAUUUAUUGAAAAGUCGAAUAGACAUGGUCAAAUGAAGCCUGUUGAUAGUUCAGGUAAAUCAAACAAACAUUCUGAUUCCUUAGGCAAUGUUCGUAAAUCUGAAGAAAGGGACCAUUUUCCGCAUGAAAUGACUCGGUCAGGAAAGGCUAUCAGGGGCAAUCAAAGAGAUGAUGUUCAUUUGAAAAAUAAGUUUCCAAGGAAUAGAAAAGAUGGUGAGCCAGCCAUUCGACCUUCAUUACCUUCUGACACAUCCAAUAGGAAACAUGGUGAACUGGAUGGAAGUGACAAGGAUCCUAAGAAUGUUUUAGGCUUCGGCAUAGGUUCUUCUCCCUUGGAUAGUCAGAGAACAUAUUCGGCGAAAUUACCUAAGGAAAAUGGAUCUGUGCUCCAAAAACAAGUUUCGGAAUUGGAGUUGGGUGAACUCCGUGAACAAUUGGUCGAAGAUAUAGCAUUGAAGCAACUCGAAGAGAAAAGUUCUUUUAGGCAGUCAAAUAUAAAACCAAGCACCUCAGAAAACUUGGCUAUUGACUCGGAGAAACGAAGGUCUAAAAAAUCCGACCCAAAAAAGCCAGCUCCCUCACAUGCCAGCAACGGUAUCAAAGUAUUGCCCGAACACGUGGUUGAAGAUUCAGAAAGACUUCAGAAGUGGCCUUUGCAGUCGCAUGAGCAGAACCUUACAGGUGCAGAUACUGAAAUUGGCUCACAGAGUAAUGCAGCUUAUAAAUCAAGACAAAAAAAUAGUAGAGCAAGAGUAGGAAGCAGUGUAGAAGGUUAUGGAGAGACGAACAAAAAAACGCCCGUUGUAAAGCAUGGCAAACGAGCAUCCACAUCCCGCUCAUCAAGGGAGAGUAAAAGACAUGCGUCUGGGAAAAUUGAAAACUCUAUCAAUGGACACAUAGAUGCAACUUCAAUACCUGGUGACAGUGUUGUCCAGGAGAAACAAAUGACAUCUUUCGAUAAAGAAUACUCUUCUUAUUUGAAAUACGAGAAAGCUUCUGCUGAGCUUAAGGGACCUAUUAGUGACCAUUUACAGUAUAAAGCCUAUAUGCAGGAAUAUUUGGAUAAAUAUGAUAGCUACUGCUCCAUUAACAAGAUAUUAGAGAGCUACAGAAAGGACUUUCAAAAGUUGGGGGAAGACCUCAAGUUUGCAAAAGGAAGGGACACGGAGAGAUAUAACAAAAUUGUGGAGCACUUGAAGGAGUCUUAUUGCAAAUAUGGGGAGAGGCACAAACGUUUGAAGAAAGUAUUUGUUGUUCUCCAUGAAGAAUUGAAGCAAGUGAAAGAAAGAAUGAAAGACUAUGCAUCAUCUCAUGGAAAAGAUUGAUGACAUUGGAACCAAAACAAAAAAACUUGGACCUCAUGCUCAGAGGUGAAAAGAAGAGACGGGUUUUGAUAUUCUCCUUUUGGUAGUCAUCUUCUUGUUUAAUGAAUAGCUGUUAAUCUUGUUUUUGUUUUUCUCGUUUCUUCUUAAGAAAUUAGAUAUUUAUUCAUUAGGCCCAAUUUUGUGUGAGUUCUUAUACCUAGGGAAACUACUUUCGUAGAUUUUAUGGCUUUUUAAAUUUGUUUCAGUUGGCGACCUUUGGAUGGACCCUGUCGAUAACUAAUAUGAGCGGCUGAACCUACGGAUCCGGUCUUUCAAAUUACUAGACCUCUCGUGUAGACUCAGAAUUUGGUUGGUCUCUUUACGCUAAGACCUAGAUCCUCCUCUCACACUUUGACACCAUUAUUUCUUCUUCUUUUCUCCACCGCACCUUUUUUCGUGCACUCACGAGUGUCCUCUGUUUUUUUUUUCCCUCUGUU